GCCAGCAUAACAUAGUGGUUUGAGUGUUGGGCUAUAGCUCUGGAGACCAGGGUUUGAUUCCCUGCUUGGCC
rnacentral:tRNA from 1 species